UCUCAGAACUGCAAGUGAAGCCAGUGGUCUGCAAGAACUGGUAUUUCCAUGUGUAGUUGGAGAUUGGAUGCCAGAUGACUGGUAAACAUCGCUUUUCACAAUGAAACGGGCCAGAUUCUCAGUCUGUGCAAAUAAGGCUAGUAUUAAUAUCAAUGAAGCCAAAAUGCUUUACACUAGUGGCUGCAAAAUAUCUCCACAGGCAGAAAAGAAUGCUGUGUGUUUUCCUUCUGAACCUGUGAAAAGAGCCAGGUGUUUGAAUGAACAUAAUGCUGAGGAACAGAACAGUUUACUAUCAAGAGGAAACCUCUGUGUCCAGCAAGCAGGAAUAGCAUGGACAAUACCUGUGCGGAAAUCUUACCUCUUGAUUUCCUCCUAAAGUUCCUCCACCCUAUUCUGGAGAGACCAGUUCUAAGCUGAUUUCUCGAUAUCCCACACCGUCCUUUUGCCUCUCUACUUAGACUAGCAACAGUUUGGGCAGCUGUAGUGAUAUUUCUUGGAUGCCGACAGACAUCAUCAAGCACAGACUAGACUUUUUUUCAAUGGGGUGGGCACGUGGUGACCGUUUUUCAUACGGUUCUAAAUCCUUGUAAGGAUUUCACCUGGAAUAUAGAUUUAACCCAGAAGCUAACUACAGCGGGCCAGAUUCCGUGCUGAGUUACACACACACACACACACCCUUCCCUCCUUGACCUAGGCGGCUGUAUUUAAGGGAUCACUCGGGAUAUCAAUCAGGAUAGAAUGUGGCCCUUCUGUGUUUGCACAAAAUCCUUUCAUUAUUUAAUGUCCCUUUUGGAGUUUGCUUGUCCAAACAUGUAAACCUA